AGUGAACGCUGGCGGCGUGCUUAACACAUGCAAGUCGAACGAGGUGCUUGAGUAGCAAUACGAGAGUAUCCUAGUGGCGAACGGGUGAGUAACGCGUUGGUGACCUACCCCAAAGUGUGGGAUAACAGUUCGAAAGGAUUGCUAAUACCGCAUGUGGUCUUCGGAUUUAGAAACUGAUGACUAAAGGAGCAAUUCGCUUUGGGAGGGACCUGCGUCCCAUCAGCUAGUUGGUGAGGUAAUGGCUCACCAAGGCUACGACGGGUAGGGGACCUGAGAGGGUGACCCCCCCACAAUGGAACUGAAACACGGUCCAUACACCUAACGGGUGGCAGCAGUAGGGAAUAUUGCACAAUGGGCGAAAGCCUGAUGCAGCAAC
rnacentral:rRNA from 1 species